rnacentral:rRNA from 1 species
CCUCCAGACUCCUACGGGAGGCAGCAGUGGGGAAUAUUGCACAAUGGGGGAAACCCUGAUGCAGCGACGCCGCGUGGGCGAGGAAGUACCUCGGUAUGUAAAGCCCUAUCAGCAGGGAAGAAACGGGACAGUACCUGACUAAGAAGCCCCGGCUAACUACGUGCCAGCAGCCGCGGUAAUACGUAGGGGGCAAGCGUUAUCCGGAUUCACUGGGCGUAAAGGGAGCGCAGGCGGCAUGGCAAGUCUGAUGUGAAAACCCGGGGCCCAACCCCGGGAGUGCAUUGGAAACUGCCAGGCUGGAGUGUCGGAGGGGUAAGCGGAAUUCCUGGUGUAGCGGUGAAAUGCGUAGAUAUCAGGAGGAACACCGGCGGCGAAGGCGGCCCGCUGGACCGUGACUGACGUUGAGGCUCGAGAGCGUGGGGAGCAAACAGGAUUAGAUACCCCCGUAA